AAACGUGUAACAUUUCAUUUAACAUUAAAAGUUUUGAGUUUUCCUUUAGUGUAUGUUGUGCCUGAUCCUUGAACCCAGUAGAUGGUGGUACUACAGCUAUACUGGUUGUAGCCACUGUGGUUCCUGUAACUGAUGGGUUGCUGGUUCAAACUUCCCACAUGUAACCCAGGUGUCCGCCAUGACCCAAUCACCUUCCCUUUAAGUUGAUUGUCAUGUGUGCUUCCGGGUUUUGUUUUUUCUUCCCCACCUUGCUGCUACUCACUGUUGGUUGUUUGUAAAACAACCUGGAGUUUCUGAAUCGACUCAUCACUCAUUUAAUCUCUAAAACUUGAAGAUUGCGGUUGUGAUCCAUUGACAGCUGGUGAACCUUCCUGAUCUGAGCCAGUUAUCAUUGCAUCCACCUCAUCAGAUAAUCCGUUACUCGACGAGAUCCAACCAGAACCAGGACCACCAGCUUAGGAAUCAUUCAAACCAAACCCCUAUCCCAAGUCACAAAGCCAGCCUGCCAACCAAAGGAUCCACCUAGUCCCAAUGAAGAAGAUCCAGCAGACAUACAGGGCACUGGGUUAACUGAAAGAACCCCAACCCAAGAAAUGGACCGACCGACUACUUCUUGAAGCCCAUCAAGAAAAUGCAGUGUGUGUGCAAAGCAGUAAUCACAGCAAAAGGUUGCUACUUUGAAGAAACUAGAAUAUAAGGGGUAUUUUCAGUUGUUUUAAACU